GGGCCACUAGCUCAGUUGGUUAGAGCAUCGCCUUGAUAAGGCGGGGGUCCGGAGUUCGAGUCUCUGCUGGCCCACCA
rnacentral:tRNA from 1 species